rnacentral:SRP_RNA from 1 species
GCCGGGCGGUGGCACGUGCCUGUAGUCCCAGCUAUUCGGGAGGCUGAGGCUGGAGGAUGUCUUGAGUCCAGGAGUUCUGGGCUGUAGUGCUCUCUGCCAAUCGGCUGUCCGCACUAAGUUGGGCAUCAGUAUGGUGACCUCCUGGGAGCAGGGGACCACCAGGUUGCCUAAGGAGGGGUGAACCGGCCCAGGUCGGAAACAGAGCAGGUCAAAACUCCUGUGCUGAUCAGUAGUGGGAUCAUGCCUGUGAACAGCCACUGCACUCCAGCCUGGACAACAUAGCAAGACCCCAUAUCU